rnacentral:rRNA from 1 species
CGGCUACAAUGGUUGGUACAAUGGGUAUCUACCCCGAAAGGGGACGGGAAUCUCCUAAAACCAAUCUUAGUUCGGAUUGAGGGCUGCAACUCGCCCUCAUGAAGCUGGAAUCCGUAGUAAUCGCGUUUCAACAGAACGCGGUGAAUACGUCCCUGCUCCUU